GAUGAACGCUGGCGGCGUGCUUAACACAUGCAAGUCGAACGGAAAGGCCCAAGAUUGCUUGGGUACUCGAGUGGCGAACGGGUGCGUAACACGUGGGUGAACUGCCCUGCACUUCGGGAUAAGCCUGGGAAACUGGGUCUCAUACCGGUUAGGACUGCCUCUUGGAUGUUGUGGUGGAAAGCUUUUACGGUGUUGGUCGGGCACGCGGGCUAGCAGCUUGUUGGAGGGGUAAUGGCCUAUCAAGGCGUAGCAGGGUAGCGGGCCUCAGAGGGGGUACGGCGACAUUGGGAAUGAGACACGGCCCGGACGCCGACGGGAAGCAGGAGUGGGGAAUGUUGCACAAUGGGCGCAAGCCUGAUGCAGGGACGCCGGGUGGGGGGUGACGGCCUUCGGGUUGUAAGCGGCUUUCGCGAGGGACGAAGCGUUUUGUGACGGUACCUGAAGAAGAAGCACCGGCUAACUACGUG
rnacentral:rRNA from 1 species